rnacentral:rRNA from 1 species
AUGCACGCUGGCGGCGUGCCUAAUACAUGCAAGUCGAGCGAACAGACGAGGAGCUUGCUCCUCUGACGUUAGCGGCGGACGGGUGAGUAACACGUGGAUAACCUACCUAUAAGACUGGGAUAACUUCGGGAAACCGGAGCUAAUACCGGAUAAUAUAUUGAACCGCAUGGUUCAAUAGUGAAAGACGGUUUUGCUGUCACUUAUAGAUGGAUCCGCGCCGCAUUAGCUAGUUGGUAAGGUAACGGCUUACCAAGGCAACGAUGCGUAGCCGACCUGAGAGGGUGAUCGGCCACACUGGAACUGAGACACGGUCCAGACUCCUACGGGAGGCAGCAGUAGGGAAUCUUCCGCAAUGGGCGAAAGCCUGACGGAGCAACGCCGCGUGAGUGAUGAAGGUCUUCGGAUCGUAAAACUCUGUUAUUAGGGAAGAACAAAUGUGUAAGUAACUAUGCACGUCUGGACGGUACCUAAUCAGAAAGCCACGGCUAACUACGU